rnacentral:lncRNA from 11 species
ACUGAACUUACUGACUAACAGAUUUUACUUGUUCUUCCCAUCACUUGUCACUUUUGGGGCAUUUCCAGAUGGAUGAUUCUUCAUGGUAACCAAAAAUAGAAGAAACCCAGUGUAGUCUGACUGUUUCACAGAUGGGCCACCACCUAGCUAAUCCUGAACUCUCUUCCUCAAAUUAUAUAUUUAGAAAAUAAUAUGUAGUUCUGGUGGUCCCUUGCUUCUGCCUCAGAAUCAGAGGCUACUACAGGAUGGAACCAAGGGAGUUAAAGUGGAAUAAUAGCUCUAUAAUUCUGCAGUGUGAACAGGUUCCUGCCGAAAUUUCUUUGAUGGUAAUAGUGUUGAGAGAGACCAUUUUCACAAUGCACGACAACUUCCAGAAAGUAUCCAAACUUUUUAACUCAACUUUCUUCCAUGCUGUUCUUCUUUCCUGCCAUGGGGGAAACUUCCUCCAGUCGGUGACAUCAGGAGGAAUCCCCAUCCAACAAGAGCCCGGAUUGAAACCAGGCUGGCUUUUCAACCAAUCUGGGGAGGGUGUGGAUAUUCUGAAUGGCUGUUAAAGUAGGUGAAAUGCUCUGUACUUCCCUGUAUGCUUUAUGACAGUUCUUUUUGAAUGCAGACUGUGUACUGACAUCCUAUCUGGCCAAAUUAAAUAAACCUCUGUUCAUUGCCUUCAAACCCAGUUUGUAUCUUGAAUCUGGACCAUUGGAAGUAGCAAAGCAUGCCGGGUUCAAACCUAUUUUUUGCAGUUACCUGAAAUCAC